CGUUCCAAGGGGUUGGGUUUA
rnacentral:miRNA from 1 species